GAUGAACGCUAGCUACAGGCUUAACACAUGCAAGUCGAGGGGAAACGACAUCGAAAGCUUGCUUUUGAUGGGCGUCGACCGGCGCACGGGUGAGUAACGCGUAUCCAACCUGCCCAUCACUUGGGGAUAACCUUGCGAAAGUAAGACUAAUACCCAAUGAUAUCUCUAGAAGACAUCUGAAAGAGAUUAAAGAUUUAUCGGUGAUGGAUGGGGAUGCGUCUGAUUAGCUUGUUGGCGUGGUAACGGCCCACCAAGGCAACGAUCAGUAGGGGUUCUGAGAGGAAGGUCCCCCACAUUGGAACUGAGACACGGUCCAAACUCCUACGGGGGGCAGCAGUGAGGAAUAUUGGUCAAUGGGCGAGAGCCUGAACCAGCCAAGUAGCGUGCAGGAAGACGGCCCUAUGGGUUGUAAACUGCUUUUAUAAGGGAAUAAAGUGAGAGUCGUGACUCUUUUUGUAUGUACCUUAUGAAUAAGGACCGGCUAAUUCCGUG
rnacentral:rRNA from 1 species